UGGAAUUAAAUAUAUUAAUUUAAUAAACUAUCAAGUUCCAUAAUUAAAUAUUUACUAUGAAUUUGAUACACCAUCAAUUUAUAACUUGAUUACUUGAAUUUAAUAUAUGUGAUAAAUUAAUUAAUUUAAUAUGAUAAUUCAUAUAGAUUAAUUCAUGUGAAAAAAUGUAAAAUAAAAUAUGGAUAAAAACAAUUAUGCAUAAAAAUGUCUGAGAACGGAGAAAGGGAAGACUUGAUCGGAGAUCGGAAUACCAAAAAAGUUCAUUUUAAGGACUUGGAUUCUGGUGUGGAAAAUGAUAUGGUUGUGGACUCUACUCCGACGCUGGAAAUCUCUUGGAGGGACAAAGUUCUGGGUCGAGGGGCUCCUGACUCUGGUAGAGACGAGGAUUUUGAAUUUCUAGAUGGAAAUGUGGUGAGAACUACGGUUAAUGGUGUUUCCGCUAUCAACUUUUCCGAGAGGAUCCAACGAAUUCUCUUCCGAAAUAUGGCGACCACGGUGGUUGUUAAAUUACUUGGCCGGAAAAUUUCUUACUCUAUUUUGCAUAAUAGGAUCCACAGUCUCUAGAAGCCUUCACAACAGAUUCACAUAAUGGAUGUGGAAAAUUGUUAUUUCCUGAUAAAAUUUCAAAGUCAUGACGAUUAUGAGAGGGUGCUUACCCAGGGUCCAUGGAUUGUCCUUGGCCAAUAUCCCACGGUUCAACCGUGGACUCCAGAGUUUAAUCCUCUCCAAGCAUUUCCUAGUAGCACCAUGGUUUGGGUCAGAUUACCGGGUCUCUCGGGGUUCCUCUAUAAGCGCCAAAUAUUAGAAGAAAUCAGAGGUCUGAUUGGGACGGUCACCAAGCUCGAUUUUCAAACGGACAAAGGGUCGAGGGGAAAUUUUGAAAGAACGGUCGUGUGCAUUGAUUUGAUAAAGCCUUUGGUAUCUCAGAUCUUGAUUAACAGGGCGGUGCAGAGGGUUCAGUUUGAAGCGUUGCCAUUCGUGUGUUUCCCUUGUGGAAGAUUCGGUCAUUCAAAGGCCACGUGCGUAGAAAUGGGGUAUUCACAAAAUGCUGACGAUGGAAUGAACACAGCGAUGGAAAGCUUACUGGAGGUGGUCAAAGCGGUGGAGCCAUUGGAGCGGUUUGGUCCCUGGAUGAUCGUUGAGAGGAAGUCACGGCGUAAUUCUAGGGCUCGCAUUAAUACUGAAACGAAAAUUGCCAUGAAUAACGCUCUGAAUCUGUUUGGGAUUGAAAAGGCUGAGAUUAGGGAAAAAGAAGCAGAUGUUUCGGGGAUAACAUUUCAAAAAGGGGAAUUUCUCAAAGGGAUCAAUCAAAGGAGCGCUUCUACGGAUAAGGGAAAUACUGGGUUAAUAACCAAAACGGCAAAUAUCUUUAGCGUGUUGGGAAAAGCAGAUGUGGACGGGCUGGACUUUUUGAUGGAAAUAGAAGGCCAGGUGGAUAGCGGGCUUAUGGUGGAGGGUCCGGGUAUGCCUAUUGAGUCACUAGUGGACCCAAAAGGUUUUGGGAAAAAACAGCUGAUAUUAAUGUGC
rnacentral:lncRNA from 1 species